rnacentral:rRNA from 1 species
GGUUAAGCGACUAAGCGUACACGGUGGAUGCCCUGGCAGUCAGAGGCGAUGAAGGACGUGCUAAUCUGCGAAAAGCGUCGGUAAGGUGAUAUGAACCGUUAUAACCGGCGAUGUCCGAAUGGGGAAACCCAGUGUGAUUCGUCACACUAUCGUUAACUGAAUACAUAGGUUAACGAGGCGAACCGGGGGAACUGAAACAUCUAAGUACCCCGAGGAAAAGAAAUCAACCGAGAUUCCCCCAGUAGCGGCGAGCGAACGGGGAGCAGCCCAGAGUCUGAAUCAGCUUGUGUGUUAGUGGAACGGUCUGGAAAGUCCGACGGUACAGGGUGAUAGUCCCGUACACCAAAAUGCACAGGCUGUGAACUCGAAGAGUAGGGCGGGACACGUGGUAUCCUGUCUGAAUAUGGGGGGACCAUCCUCCAAGGCUAAAUACUCCUGACUGACCGAUAGUGAACCAGUACCGUGAGGGAAAGGCGAAAAGAACCCCGGCGAGGGGAGUGAAAAAGAACCUGAAACCGUGUACGUACAAGCAGUGGGAGCACCUUUAUGGUGUGACUGCGUACCUUUUGUAUAAUGGGUCAGCGACUUAUAUUCUGUAGCAAGGUUAACCGUAUAGGGGAGCCGCAGGGAAACCGAGUCUUAACUGGGCGUUAAGUUGCAGGGUAUAGACCCGAAACCCGGUGAUCUAGCCAUGGGCAGGUUGAAGGUUGGGUAACACUAACUGGAGGACCGAACCGACUAAUGUUGAAAAAUUAGCGGAUGACUUGUGGCUGGGGGUGAAAGGCCAAUCAAACCGGGAGAUAGCUGGUUCUCCCCGAAAGCUAUUUAGGUAGCGCCUCGUGAACUCAUCUUCGGGGGUAGAGCACUGUUUCGGCUAGGGGGUCAUCCCGACUUACCAACCCGAUGCAAACUACGAAUACCGAAGAAUGUUAUCACGGGAGACACACGGCGGGUGCUAACGUCCGUCGUGAAGAGGGAAACAACCCAGACCGCCAGCUAAGGUCCCAAAGUCAUGGUUAAGUGGGAAACGAUGUGGGAAGGCACAGACAGCCAGGAUGUUGGCUUAGAAGCAGCCAUCAUUUAAAGAAAGCGUAAUAGCUCACUGGUCGAGUCGGCCUGCGCGGAAGAUGUAACGGGGCUAAACCAUGCACCGAAGCUGCGGCAGCGACGCUUAUGCGUUGUUGGGUAGGGGAGCGUUCUGUAAGCCUGCGAAGGUGGCCUGUGAGGGUUGCUGGAGGUAUCAGAAGUGCGAAUGCUGACAUAAGUAACGAUAAAGCGGGUGAAAAGCCCGCUCGCCGGAAGACCAAGGGUUCCUGUCCAACGUUAAUCGGGGCAGGGUGAGUCGACCCCUAAGGCGAGGCCGAAAGGCGUAGUCGAUGGGAAACAGGUUAAUAUUCCUGUACUUGGUGUUACUGCGAAGGGGGGACGGAGAAGGCUAUGUUAGCCGGGCGACGGUUGUCCCGGUUUAAGCAUGUAGGCUGGUUAUCCAGGCAAAUCCGGAUAAUCAAGGCUGAGGUGUGAUGACGAGGCACUACGGUGCUGAAGUAACAAAUGCCCUGCUUCCAGGAAAAGCCUCUAAGCAUCAGGUAACAUCAAAUCGUACCCCAAACCGACACAGGUGGUCAGGUAGAGAAUACCAAGGCGCUUGAGAGAACUCGGGUGAAGGAACUAGGCAAAAUGGUGCCGUAACUUCGGGAGAAGGCACGCUGGUGUGUAGGUGAAGUCCCUGCGGAUGGAGCUGAGACCAGUCGAAGAUACCAGCUGGCUGCAACUGUUUAUUAAAAACACAGCACUGUGCAAACACGAAAGUGGACGUAUACGGUGUGACGCCUGCCCGGUGCCGGAAGGUUAAUUGAUGGGGUUAUCCGUAAGGAGAAGCUCUUGAUCGAAGCCCCGGUAAACGGCGGCCGUAACUAUAACGGUCCUAAGGUAGCGAAAUUCCUUGUCGGGUAAGUUCCGACCUGCACGAAUGGCGUAAUGAUGGCCAGGCUGUCUCCACCCGAGACUCAGUGAAAUUGAACUCGCUGUGAAGAUGCAGUGUACCCGCGGCAAGACGGAAAGACCCCGUGAACCUUUACUAUAGCUUGACACUGAACAUUGAGCCUUGAUGUGUAGGAUAGGUGGGAGGCUUUGAAGCGUGGACGCCAGUCUGCGUGGAGCCAACCUUGAAAUACCACCCUUUAAUGUUUGAUGUUCUAACGUUGGCCCCUAAUCGGGGUUGCGGACAGUGUCUGGUGGGUAGUUUGACUGGGGCGGUCUCCUCCCAAAGCGUAACGGAGGAGCACGAAGGUUAGCUAAUCCUGGUCGGACAUCAGGAGGUUAGUGCAAUGGCAUAAGCUAGCUUGACUGCGAGCGUGACGGCGCGAGCAGGUGCGAAAGCAGGUCAUAGUGAUCCGGUGGUUCUGAAUGGAAGGGCCAUCGCUCAACGGAUAAAAGGUACUCCGGGGAUAACAGGCUGAUACCGCCCAAGAGUUCAUAUCGACGGCGGUGUUUGGCACCUCGAUGUCGGCUCAUCACAUCCUGGGGCUGAAGUAGGUCCCAAGGGUAUGGCUGUUCGCCAUUUAAAGUGGUACGCGAGCUGGGUUUAGAACGUCGUGAGACAGUUCGGUCCCUAUCUGCCGUGGGCGCUGGAGAAUUGAGGGGGGCUGCUCCUAGUACGAGAGGACCGGAGUGGACGCAUCACUGGUGUUCGGGUUGUCAUGCCAAUGGCACUGCCCGGUAGCUAAAUGCGGAAGAGAUAAGUGCUGAAAGCAUCUAAGCACGAAACUUGCCCCGAGAUGAGUUCUCCCUGAGACUUUAAGUCUCCUGAAGGAACGUUAAAGACGAUGACGUUGAUAGGCCGGGUGUGUAAGCGCAGCGAUGCGUUGAGCUAACCGGUACUAAUGAACCGUGAGGCUUAACCUU